AUGAAUGAAUGGAUGGAUGAAUGUCUCUCCUCAGAGAGAGGCGCCCCUCCCCCUCCUCCUCCCCCCCCUCCCCCCCCUCCCCCCCCUCCGCCCGGCCCUCUCCCUGGUAACGGCGAACGCACGCACGCGCCCUUCCCGCCACUCUGGCUCUCGCGAGACUUGUCCCCGCCCCUCCCUCCUCCUCCUCCUCCUCCUUCUCCUCCUCCUCCAUCCUUCCCUCAGCCCAACUGCGCAGCUCCGUCAGCCGCCGCCGCCGCCCGCAGACGGUUGGAGCCGCCGUUGUGGUGGGCGCCGCCGAGAAGAGCGACCCCCUCCCUCCCCCCAAGCGCCUCCCGGAGCCGCCCGCCUGGGUAUCUGAGGUAUAAGCGGCGGGAGGGACCCCCCAGGACCCCGGGACGGGGCGGGGGGGGGGGGAGGGAGACACAAGGAGGGAUGAGGAGGAGGAGGAGGCAUGGCCGCCCGGCCGGUCCUUGCCCGGUCCUUCCCCCGUCCUUACCUCAUCCUCGGCCUGUGUUCGGCCUCUCCCGGCGAGGUCGGGGGCGGGGGGGCGGGGGGGGAGCGACCCGCGGCCCGGUGCGAUCCGGUCUGGCGGGGUUUGGGCCGGGCCGGGCUCCCCUCCCCCUCCUCCCUCAGCGCGGCCGCCGCCAUUUUGAGCACGGUGGCGCCGCUUCCUCGGGCCUCCCGCCGGACCCUGCCCUCGGCCGCACCCGGACGCUGCCCCCCUUCCCUCACCCCUCCACCAUCCCCGGUCCCCUCUCGCCGACACCGGACCCCGGCCACGGCCGAGGCGGGAGAAAGAGGAGCACGGCCCCGGCGGGACGGACGGGCGGGCGGGCGGCGGAAAUGGCGCCCGAAAGCCCUCGCCGCCGCCGGCCUCCCGGGCCUGACGCCCACCUCCUCCUCCUCCUUAUCAUCCCCCUAUUUAUUACCAUCCUAUUCUCCUAUUUAUCAUCAUCCUAUCCUAUGUAUUACCAUCCUAUUCAUUACCUUCUUAUUUUCUUAUCACCCUAUCUUCCUAUUGUUAUCCUGUUUUCCUAUUUAUUAUCAUCCUAUCUUAUUUAUUAUCAUCCUAUCUUAUUUAUUAUCAUCCAAUCUUCCUAUUUAUUAUCAUCCAAUCUUCCUAUUUAUUAUCAUCCACUCUUCCUAUUUAUUAUCAUCCACUCUUCCUAUUUAUUAUCAUCCACUCUUCCUAUUUAUUAUCAUCCAAUCUUCCUAUUUAUUAUCAUCCAGUCUUCCUAUUUAUUAUCAUCCAAUCUUCCUAUUUAUUAUCAUCCAAUCUUCCUAUUUAUUAUCAUCCAAUCUUCCUAUUUAUUAUCAUCCAAUCUUCCUAUUUAUUAUCAUCCAAUCUUUCUAUUUAUUAUCAUCCAAUCUUUCUAUUUAUUAUCAUCCAAUCUUCCUAUUUAUUAUCAUCCAAUCUUCCUAUUUAUUACCAUCCUAUUCUCUUAUUAUCAUCCUAUCUUCCUAUUAUCGUCCUAUUCUCCUAUUAUCCUAUCAUAUUUAUUAUCAUCCUAUUCUCUUAUUUAUUACCAUCCUAUUCUACUUAUCAUCCUAUCCUAUUUAUUGCCAUCCUAUUCUCUUAUUUAUUAG
rnacentral:lncRNA from 1 species